rnacentral:rRNA from 1 species
GGCGCUUCACACCCACCUAGAGGAGCCUGUUCUAGAACCGAUGACCCCCGUUCAACCUCACCUUUUCUUGCUUUCCCCGCCUAUAUACCGCCGUCGUCAGCUCACCCUGUGAAGGACCCCCAGUGAGCAAGGCUGGCACAGCCCAAAACGUCAGGUCAAGGUGUAGCGCAUGAAAAGGGAAGAAAUGGGCUACAAUUGCUUUAACAGCUAAUUACGGACUGUACCGCUGAAAGCGCACACAUGAAGGAGGAUUUAGAAGUAAGAGGGAAAGCAGAGCGUCCCCCUGAAAUGGUUCUGAAGCGUGCACACACCGCCCGUCACUCUCCCCAGGCUAGAACAAUCCAAGUAAAUAAAACAAUGAGCCUACAAAGGGGAGGCAAGUCGUAACAUGGUAAGUGUACCGGAAGGUGCACUUGGAAGAAU